AUUGAUGUUUUUCUCUCUUCCUCUCCCUUCCUCUCAGAAUCAAUAAAAAAAUAUAUUUUUAAAAACUACCCACCAUCAUUACCAAUAAAAACUUUAAAAUAAGCUGUCAAAAUUUUAUAUAUAAUUGCAAUAGCAAUUAUAUAGCAAAGACCUUACCCACCCAUCUCAUAUCUCAUGAUUAAGGUAUACAGAAAAUUAUACCUUGAGAAAAGAUACCAAUUAAAUAGAUUAAAUACUGUCACUGAAGAUUAAUUAUAAGACAUGAUUAAGUCCUGAUUGGUUUGGCUCAGUGGAUAGAGCAUUGGCAUUCAGACUGAAAGGUCCC